rnacentral:rRNA from 1 species
UACGGAGGGUGCCAGCGUUAUUCGGAAUCAUUGGGUGUAAAGCGCGUGUAGGCGGUUUGGUAAGUCAGAUGUGAAAGCUUCGGGCUUAACCCGGAAAGUGCAUUUGAAACUACCAGACUUGAGUCCCGGAGAGGAAGGUGGAAUUCCCAGUGUAGAGGUGAAAUUCGUAGAUAUUGGGAGGAACACCGGUGGCGAAGGCGACCUUCUGGACGGUGACUGACGCUGAGACGCGAAAGCGUGGGGAGCAAACAGG